rnacentral:rRNA from 1 species
AAACCCUGAUGCAGCAACGCCGCGUGAGCGAUGAAGGCCUUCGGGUUGUAAAGCUCUGUCUUCAGGGACGAUAAUGACGGUACCUGAGGAGGAAGCCGCGGCUAACUACGUGCCAGCAGCCGCGGUAAUACGUAGGUGGCAAGCGUUGUCCGGAAUUAUUGGGCGUAAAGGAUGUGUAGGCGGCUUUUUAAGUGGGAUGUGAAAUCCCUGGGCUCAACCCAGGAUCUGCAUUCCAAACUGGAAAGCUAGAGUGCAGGAGAGGAAAGUGGAAUUCCCAGUGUAGCGGUGAAAUGCGUAGAGAUUGGGAGGAACACCAGUGGCGAAGGCGACUUUCUGGACUGUAACUGACGCUGAGGCAUGAAAGCGUGGGGAGCAAACAGGAUUAGAUACCCUGGUAGUCCACGCUGUAAACGAUGAGUACUAGGUGUAGGCCCCUCCAGGGUCUGUGCCGCAGUUAACACAUUAAGUACUCCGCCUGGGAAGUACGGUCGCAAGACUA